rnacentral:rRNA from 1 species
UCGUUAAGGAACUUUGCAAUCUAACCCCGUAACUUCGGAAGAAGGGGUCCCCACACUCUGUGUGGGGCGCAGUGAAUAGGCCCAGGCGACUGUUUACCAAAAUCACAGCACUCUGCCAACACGAACAGUGGACGUAUAGGGUGUGACGCCUGCCCGGUGCCGGAAGGUUAAUUGAUGGGGUUAGCGCAAGCGAAGCUCUUGAUCGAAGCCCCGGUAAACGGCGGCCGUAACAAUAACGGUCCUAAGGUAGCGAAAUUCCUUGUCGGGUAAGUUCCGACCUGCACGAAUGGCGUAACGAUGGCGGCGCUGUCUCCACCCGAGACUCAGUGAAAUUGAAAUCGCUGUGAAGAUGCAGUGUAUCCGCGGCUAGACGGAAAGACCCCGUGAACCUUUACUAUAGCUUUGCACUGGACUUUGAGCUUGCUUGUGUAGGAUAGGUGGGAGGCUUUGAAGUGGGGACGCCAGUUCUCAUGGAGCCAUCCUUGAAAUACCACCCUGGCAACCUUGAGGUUCUAACUCUGGUCCGUUAUCCGGAUCGAGGACAGUGUAUGGUGGGUAGUUUGACUGGGGCGGUCUCCUCCCAAAGAGUAACGGAGGAGUACGAAGGUGCGCUCAGACCGGUCGGAAAUCGGUCGUAGAGUAUAAAGGCAAAAGCGCGCUUGACUGCGAGACAGACACGUCGAGCAGGUACGAAAGUAGGUCUUAGUGAUCCGGUGGUUCUGUAUGGAAGGGCCAUCGCUCAACGGAUAAAAGGUACUCCGGGGAUAACAGGCUGAUACCGCCCAAGAGUUCAUAUCGACGGCGGUGUUUGGCACCUCGAUGUCGGCUCAUCACAUCCUGGGGCUGAAGCCGGUCCCAAGGGUAUGGCUGUUCGCCAUUUAAAGUGGUACGCGAGCUGGGUUUAGAACGUCGUGAGACAGUUCGGUCCCUAUCUGCCGUGGACGUUUGAGAUUUGAGAGGGGCUGACCUUAGUACGAGAGGACCGGGUUGGACGAACCUCUGGUGUUCCGGUUGUCACGCCAGUGGCAUUGCCGGGUAGCUAUGUUCGGAAAAGAUAACCGCUGAAAGCAUCUAAGCGGGAAACUUGCCUCAAGAUGAGAUCUCACUGGAGCCUUGAGCUCCCUAAAGGGCCGUCGAAGACUACGACGUUGAUAGGUGGGGUGUGUAAGCGCUGUGAGGCGUUGAGCUAACCCAUACUAAUUGCCCGUGAGGCUUGACC